ACCGUUCUUGUCUUGGAGAGCAUAAUGUCCAGGGAUCGUUAAGUGAGGGCAUUGUUGCUGACAACGAAAAAUUUAUUCUACGCACCCUUACCAAGGGCAUCGCCCGGGUUAAGAGGUGCAAUUUUUGGAAGC